AUGCGAUGAAGAUAAUUACGCCCAUUGUGACGGUUGGGUCUGUCGCUUUAUCUGUAUACACGGAUGAAAGUGUGGCGUUUCUGAGCUC
rnacentral:snoRNA from 1 species